UACGUAGGGUGCGAGCGUUGCCCGGAAUUAUUGGGCGUAAAGGGCGCGUAGGCGGCUUUGCAAGUGACGGGUGAAAUCCCUCGGCUUAACCGAGGAACUGCCUGUCAAACUGCAUGGCUUGAGACCGGGAGAGGUGAGUGGAAUUCCCAGUGUAGCGGUGAAAUGCGUAGAUAUUGGGAGGAACACCAGUGGCGAAGGCGGCUCACUGGACCGGUACUGACGCUGAUGCGCGAAAGCGUGGGGAGCAAACAGG
rnacentral:rRNA from 1 species